CAGUCGCCACGGUAAGACAGAGGAUGCAAGCGUUAUCCGGAAUGAUUGGGCGUAAAGGGUACGUAGGUGGCCUUUUAAGCGUAGGGUAUAAGGCAAUGGCUCAACCAUUGUUCGCCCUAUGAACUGGAAGGCUUGAGUGCAGGAGAGGAAAGCGGAAUUCCUAGUGUAGCGGUGGAAUGCAUAGAUAUUAGGAGGAACAUCAGCGGCGAAGGCGGCUUUCUGGACUGCAACUGACACUGAGGUACGAAAGCGUGGGGAGCAAACAGGAUUAGAUACCCGCGUAGUCCCUGUCUCUUAUACA
rnacentral:rRNA from 1 species